AACGCACAUUGCGCCCGCCAGUAUUCUGGCGGGCAUGCCUGUUCGAGCGUCAUUUCAACCAUCAAGCCCCAGGCUUGUGUUGGGGACCUGCGGCUGCCGCAGGCCCUGAAAUCCAGUGGCGGGUUCGCUGUCACCCCGAGCGUAGUAGCAAUAUCUCGCUCAGGGCGUGCUGCGGGCACCGGCCGUUAAAAGCUGCCUUCUGGCAACACCCAAGGUUGACCUCGGAUCAGGUAGGAAGACCCGCUGAACUUAA
rnacentral:misc_RNA from 1 species